rnacentral:lncRNA from 1 species
UGAGGUCUAGGGAGGGUGAAAUGUAUGCAGUCGAUAUCACUACCUCCGAAGAAGUAGAGAGCCUAUUUCCAAUAGACCCCCAGCUCAAGAGAGAGAAUAGUAUAGAAAGUUCGUAAUGCAACUCGAAACAGGGUGUAUAACACAACAGAAAUAAUCGAUAAAAUAAUACUAGUAAAUAUCAAGGAAAUACAAAAUAAGUAAAGUAUAAGCAAUACAAAAUAAGAAAUAGGAAAAUGGAUAUUAUCCUAGUAGUAAACAAUACACUCAAAGACCUAAGAGGACUAACACCCCCGC